rnacentral:rRNA from 1 species
CAGUCGCCGCGGUAAUACGUAGGGUGCAAGCGUUAAUCGGAAUUACUGGGCGUAAAGCGUGCGCAGGCGGUGAUGUAAGACAGUUGUGAAAUCCCCGGGCUCAACCUGGGAACUGCAUCUGUGACUGCAUCGCUGGAGUGCGGCAGAGGGGGAUGGAAUUCCGCGUGUAGCAGUGAAAUGCGUAGAUAUGCGGAGGAACACCGAUGGCGAAGGCAAUCCCCUGGGCCUGCACUGACGCUCAUGCACGAAAGCGUGGGGAGCAAACAGGAUUAGAUACCCCCGUAGUCCCUGUCUCUUAUAC